AAAGAACCCAACAGGGAUUGCCUCAGUAACGGCGAGUGAAGCGGCAACAGCUCAAAUUUGAAAUCUGGCCUCUUGGGGUCCGAGUUGUAAUUUGGAGAGGAUGUUUCGGGUACGGUCCGGGCUUAAAUUUCUUGGAACAGAAUGUCAUGGAGGGUGAGAAUCCCGUCUGGAGCUCGGACACGGCCUAUGUGAAACUCCUUCGACGAGUCGAGUUGUUUGGGAAUGCAGCUCUAAAUGGGUGGUAAAUUUCAUCUAAAGCUAAAUAUUGGCCAGAGACCGAUAGCGCACAAGUAGAGUGAUCGAAAGAUGAAAAGUACUUUGAAAAGAGAGUUAAACAGUACGUGAAAUUGUUGAAAGGGAAGCGCUGGCAACCAGACUUGCACGCCGGGGUUCCCCCUUGCUUCUGCUUGGGUUACUCCCCGGUGUUCAGGCCAACAUCGGUUUCGGGGGUUGGUUAAAGGCCCUGGGAAUGUACCUACCCUUCGGGGUAGACUUAUAGCCCAGGGUGUCAUGCGACCUCCCGGGACCGAGGAACGCGCUUCGGCUCGGAUGUUGGCGUAAUGGUUGUCAGCGACCC
rnacentral:rRNA from 1 species